AAGCACCCCAUUAAGAAGUGAGGUGUCUUGCAGUAUGCCACUUGCAUCAGGGCAAAAGAGCCUUUUCUGCCCUUUGGAAGCAGGGCUGCCCUGUAAUUUGGAAAACAGCCUGUGCCCAGGAGUUCCUGGCAUGAUGCUGCUGAGCCAGUGUAGAGCAAGACCCCUGUAAAUAAGGCUGAAGCCUCUCCUGCCCGGUACAAUGUGCCCAGAGUGCCAGCUUCAGUGAUGCCCCAGAUUCUGAAGCCUUCCAUCAAGGUGGCCAGGCAGAUUCUCCCAGCAGAGGGUGGCUGAUAAUCUUAUUCAUUGUGUGCUCACUCCCUUUUCCUGGACGUAUUUGUGAGACCUCAAAGAAUCGCUGACUUUGACAGAGACAAGAGUGCCACUACAGCAGCUCAAUUAGCCAUGGCUAAACGUGCUUGAAUAUUACUGCUUUUACUCCAAGAAUUUACUCUGUUAAAGAGAAUGCUUGUGCCAUCCUUACAUUUUGCUGUGGGAAGCUCGAAUUAAUGUUAUUAUCAAAUUACUUGAUAUGUGCUAUAAGGAACAAUACCAUCUAAUUUUGUGACAAAUACAACCUGCAAGAUGGAAGAGAUAGAACUCUCUAUUUUCAUAUUGUGUUUUGAAACAGCAAUGAAAA